CUCCGGCAGAUCGACAAGAUACUGAAUUUUAUGAAAGGGCCCACAACCUUUUGCUUUCAUGGGGCCCCCAGUCGGUAGCGGUGCCCCUGGUUCCAUACAUGGGGUACGUCU